UGAUCCUGAUUACGGUUCAUCCUUUCUACAUGACCAGUUCUAUUAUGAGAUUGCAACACUAGCUUCAACCUCAAAGAUCCAAACGAUUUCUAUUGAUAAUAUUAAUCUCAAGAGUAAUGACCCAACUGCAUCGCGUGAUCUAGCCAGGUUUCUCUGUCUUCUACCUUGUCUCACCGAACUGACAAUAAAGGGAUUUGAUCCUGAUUACGGUUCAUCCUUUCUACAUGACCAGUUCUAUUAUGAGAUUGCAACACUAGCUUCAACCUCAAAGAUCCAAACGAUUUCUAUUGAUAAUAUUAAUCUCAAGAGUAAUGACCCAACUGCAUCGCGUGAUCUAGCCAGGUUUCUCUGUCUUCUCCCUUGUCUCACCGAACUGACAAUAAAGGGAUUUGAUCCUGAUUACGGGCGCCCUUCAUUCUUUCUACAUGACCAGUUCUAUUAUGAGAUUGCAACACUAGCUUCAACCUCAAAGAUCCAAACGAUUUCUAUUGUUAGUAGUAAUCUCAAGAGUAAUGACCCAACUGCAUCGCGUGAUCUAGCCAGGUUUCUCUGUCUUCUACCUUGUCUCACCGAACUGACAAUAAAAGGAUAUGAUCCUGAUUACGAUUCAUCAUUCUUUCUACAUG
rnacentral:lncRNA from 1 species